GACGAACGCUGGCGGCGUGCUUUACACAUGCAAGUCGAGCGGUAAGGCCUUUCGGGGUACACGAGCGGCGAACGGGUGAGUAACACGUGGGUAACCUGCCCUCAGCUCUGGGAUAAGCCUAGGAAACUGGGUCUAAUACCGGAUAUGACCUUGCAUCGCAUGGUGUGGGGUGGAAAGUUCCGGCGGCUGGGGAUGGGCCCGCGGCCUAUCAGCUUGUUGGUGGGGUAGUGGCCUACCAAGGCGA
rnacentral:rRNA from 1 species